CUUUGGAAAAGACUCAGAAGAGCCAGUAAACUUGGCUUCUUCAGUUCUGCUUCUCAUCGGCCCCAUCAGCAGAGAGAAAUAAUGACUCCCGAAUCAUUUCUGAAUCAAAAAGUUAAAACAGUGUCUCAAUGAUGCCACAUCACGCCAGACGCAGGCAAAUGGUUUGAAGAUGCUGGCCUAGCAAGAUGGCAACAGGUUUAAAAAAAUAGGAUUCAUAAGAAGUUCCUUUUUUCAGACUCCUAGGGUUAAUCCCCAAGACAACCUUGCUUUGAAAGAAAAAAUGUGGUGAGCCAACUUGAAGAUUUGGAUCCCAGAGGCCUCUUGUCUGUCCUGCCUCAGCCAGACACCGGGCUCAAGGAGAUGGACGUUUACAGAGAAAGAAGCAAAAUUAAUAGUAUCCUGCAGAUGAUUCAUAAAAGCAAUUGCAUUAGAAAGCGCUUCUUCGCUGCUGUUUGUAGCUCGGGUUAAAGAUACCUAAAGUUGAUCUGUGUGUGCCUGUUCUCAACACUCUAAUAUUUGGAACUGUAUCUGCAUUUGUGAAAAUAAUCUGUACUGCUGGUUCUUCUCCAGAAUAAAUCCUACAUAACCGGCUGAUUGAUUGUAAUCGUGAUGAAUUUGUCCCAGGACUGGCAUGGACGUCUUCUUUGGGGAUUUUUGUGCCUAUUUGCUGCUCAUCAAAAGGGAAGGCGAGACAGACUUUGGAACGAGGGUGCGGUCCGGCUGAUUCAGCUUCCUUCCCGGCCCAUCUCUGCCUCCUGCCCUUCUGCUUCUCCCUUCCCACCCUGGCUCCUCCGAUCCAAAUGAGAUGGCACCCACCUUUCUUUCCUCUUACAGCCUGUGUCCCACUCGGUCAGUCCUGCCUCAGCCAGACACCGGGCUGGUGAUCAAACUCCCCGUAAUCAAACUCGCCACGUUUGUGACCUCAGCAUAUUUUCAAUCCAGUUGAAAUCUACUCCCUCAGCUUCUCCCGUCCUGGGAUUAUUCCUCAGUGUAGUAAGAGCAAUAAUAAUACUGUAUUUAGAAGUUCCUUAGCACGUUGCAUCUCUGAGAGUCUUACAGAUGUUAUCUAAUUCAUCUUCACAACACCCUAUACGGGAGCAGUAAAUAUUAUUAACCAUAACAGAAUACACACACACACACACACACACACACACACACAUAUAUGUGCUAAGGGCAGCAAAAUAGUU